rnacentral:rRNA from 1 species
AUAAAAGUUGUUGCAGUUAAAAAGCUCGUAGUCGGAUGUCGGGGCGUGACGGGUCCGGUCUGCCGGAACGGUGUGUACUGGCUCGUCUGCCCUUCCUUCCGGUUUGCCGGCGGCUUCCCUUAACUGGGCGGCCGUCUUCGGCUCCGGAUCGUUUACUUUGAAAAAAAUAGAGUGUUUAAAGCAGACUUCACGUCGUCUUGAAUACAUUAGCAUGGGAUAAUGGAAUAGGCUCCUGCGUCUAUUUUGUUGGUUUCUGGAAGCGAGAGAAUGAUCAAUGGGAAUCGUCGGGGGUAUUCAUAUUUAAUUGUCAGAGGUGAAAUUCUUGGAUUUAUGAAAGAUGAACAUCUGCGAAAGCAUCUAUCAAGGAGGUUUUCAUCGAUCAAGAACGGAAGUUAGGGGAUCGAAGACGAUCAGAUACCGUCGUAGUCUUAACCAUAAACUAUGCCGACCAGGGAUUGGGAGACGUUCCAUGUACGACUCGCCCAGCACCUUGAGAGAAAUCACAAGUCUUUGGGUUCCGGGGGGAGUAUGGUCGCAAGUCUGAAACUUAAAGGAAUUGACGGAAGGGCACCACCAGGAGUGGAGCUUGCGGCUUAAUUUGACCCAACACGGGAAAACUUACCAGGUCCAGACAUAGUAAGGAUUGACAGAUUGAGAGCUCUUUCUUGAUUCUAUGGGUGGUGGUGCAUGGCCGUUCUUAGUUGGUGGAGUGAUUUGUCUGGUUAAUUCCGAUAACGAACGAGACCUCAGCCUGCUAACUAGUCAGGCGAACCGUCUGCUCGGGUGAAUGGCGCGCACGGCUCGGGGCUUGUUUCGGCAGGCCCUCCUGCUCGCAGGGAUCCUUGAUGUGUUCGCCGCCGUACUUCUUAGAGGGACUAUUGGUAUCUAAUCAAUGGAAGUUUGAGGCAAUAACAGGUCUGUGAUGCCCUUAGAUGUUCUGGGCCGCACGCGCGCUACACUGGCCGGCGCAACGAGCGUUUACCUUGGCCGAAAGGUCUGGGGAAUCUUGUGAAAUCCGGCCGUGAUGGGGAUAGAUCAUUGUAAUUUUUGAUCUUCAACGAGGAAUUCCUAGUAAGCGCGAGUCAUCAGCUCGCGUUGAUUACGUCCCUGCCCUUUGUACACACCGCCCGUCGCUCCUACCGAUUGAAUGGUCCGGUGAAAUCUUCGGACGGGGGUGUGUAAGCGUCGGGGCAACUCGGCGCUGACACUCCCGGAAGACGAUUAAACCUUAUCAUUUAGAGGAAGGAGAAGUCGUAACAAGGUUUCCGUAGGUGAACCUGCGGAAG